UGAUGACGAGACGCUAAGGCGUUGAAGCAGUGUAUGUCAGACUUCCAAGAAAAGCUCGCAAUGUCACAAAUAAAAGAUGCCUGUACCAUAACCGACACAGGUGGGUAGGUAGAGUAUACUAAGGGGCGCGAGAUAACUCUCUCUAAGGAACUCGGCAAAAUGACUCCGUAACUUCGGGAGAAGGAGUGCCUUAUUUAUAAGGUUGCAAUAACAAGAUCCAAGCAACUGUUUAUCAAAAACACAGGUCUCCGCUAAGUCGUAAGACGAUGUAUGGGGGCUGACGCCUGCCCAGUGCCAGAAGGUUAAAGAAGUUGGUUAGUGUAUGCGAAGCUGAUGACUGAAGCCCUGGUGAACGGCGGCCGUAACUAUAACGGUCCUAAGGUAGCGAAAUUCCUUGUCGGGUAAGUUCCGACCCGCACGAAAGGCGUAAUGAUUUGGAUACUGUCUCGGAGAGAGGCUCGGUGAAAUAGACUUGUCUGUGGAGAUGCGGACUACCUGCACCAGGACAGAAAGACCCUAUGAAGCUUUACUGUAACUUGAAAUUGGAAUUGGACUUUGCUUGCGCAGUAUAGGUGGGAAGCGUUGAAAAUAUUCUUGCGGGAGUAUUGGAGCUAUCAGUGAGAUACCACUCUUGUAAUGUUAGAUUUCUAACUUUGAACCAUAAUCUGGUCAAAGAACAGUUUCAGGUGGGCAGUUUGACUGGGGCGGUCGCCUCCCAAAUGGUAACGGAGGCGUACAAAGGUUUCCUCUGAACGGAUAGAAAUCGUAUCUAGAGUGUAAAGGCAUAAGGAAGCUUGACUGUGAGACCUACAAGUCGAGCAGGGACGAAAGUCGGUCUUAGUGAUCUGACGGUACUGAGUGGAAAGGCCGUCACUCAACGGAUAAAAGUUACUCUAAGGAUAACAGGCUGAUCUCCCCCAAGAGUUCACAUCGACGGGGAGGUUUGGCACCUCGAUGUCGGCUCAUCACAUCCUGGGGCGGUAGUACGUCCCAAGGGUUGGGCUGUUCGCCCAUGAAAGCGGUACGCGAGCUGGGUUCAGAACGUCGUGAGACAGUUCGGUCCAUAUCCGGUGUAGGCGCUAGAAUAUUGAGAGGAGCCUUCUUUAGUACGAGAGGACCGAGAAGGACACACCGCUGGUGUACCAGUUAUCGUGCCAACGGUAAACGCUGGGUAGCUAUGUGUGGAGUGGAUAACCGCUGAAAGCAUCUAAGUGGGAAGCCCACCUCGAGAUGAGUAUUC
rnacentral:rRNA from 1 species